CGAUACUAUCAAUGGUAAACCGAAACAAUCGAUGGUUACCAGUCCUAUCGUUUUGUAUUUUGAUUUUUUCCCUACAAACACAAAAAUUAAAUACAAUUAAAAUUCCAAACGGAUUUAGACACGCAAAGUUCGCAGCGAUCAAAAAACAAUUUUAAAUAUUUAGACGCAGCUUGGAGUACCUUACAAUAUUUCUGGAAAAUUCAGAUGGAAUUUUAAUUGUCAGAAAAAAUCACGGCUUAAAAGAUGUCUGUCUUACCAUUUACUGACUUAUCAAAUAAUAUUACAGUUACAAAUUUAGAAACGGUUAAGUCAAAUAGAAUACGUACAAUUGUUGAUGGAUUGUCUACAUUGUUAAAUGUUGGGAUAUGUCCAGACACUAUGACCCAAUGUGUGAGCCUUCUUGAAUGUGGAGUGCACUCCCAGUCUCUAGUUCAGUUCAUGAAAGAAUUAAAGGCUUUUAAAAACACUACCAUGUCCUCCAAUUAAUUAAACAUUUUUUUGUUUUUAGUUUUAUUUAUUUUAUGUUGUAUUUGAAUAGAUUAGUCUUAAAAUUCAAUGUUAAUCCUAAUAUCUAUUUUACCGGGCAC